GUGCUCACUUUAGUAGCACAUAUACUAAAAUUGGGAUAAUAAAAGAUUAGCAUGACCCCCGUGCAAAGAUUACAAAACAAAGACAAAAACAAAGAUAGUUAAU
ensembl:snRNA U6 U6 spliceosomal RNA